UACAGAGGUCCCGAGCGUUGUUCGGAUUCAUUGGGCGUAAAGGGUGCGUAGGCGGUCUGCUAAGUUUGAUGUGAAAUCCCGGGGCUCAACCCUGGAAUGGCAUUGAAUACUGGCGGACUAGAGUACCGGAGAGGAAACUGGAAUUCCCAGUGUAGCGGUGAAAUGCGUAGAUACUGGGAGGAACACCAGUGGCGAAGGCGGCUACCUGGACCGGUUCUGACGCUGAGGCGCGAAAGCGUGGGUAGCAAACAGG
rnacentral:rRNA from 1 species